AUUGAACGCUGGCGGCAUGCCUUACACAUGCAAGUCGAACGGUAACAGGUCUUCGGAUGCUGACGAGUGGCGAACGGGUGAGUAAUACAUCGGAACGUGCCUAGUAGUGGGGGAUAACUACUCGAAAGAGUGGCUAAUACCGCAUGAGAUCUACGGACGAAAGCAGGGGAUCGCAAGACCUUGUGCUACUAGAGCGGCCGAUGGCAGAUUAGGUAGUUGGUGGGAUAAAAGCUUACCAAGCCGACGAUCUGUAGCUGGUCUGAGAGGACGAUCAGCCACACUGGGACUGAGACACGGCCCAGACUCCUACGGGAGGCAGCAGUGGGGAAUUUUGGACAAUGGGCGCAAGCCUGAUCCAGCAAUGCCGCGUGCAGGAUGAAGGCCUUCGGGUUGUAAACUGCUUUUGUACGGAACGAAAAGCCCUGGGUUAAUACCCUGGGGUCAUGACGGUACCGUAAGAAUAAGCACCGGCUAACUACGUGCCAGCAGCCGCAGUAAGAC
rnacentral:rRNA from 1 species